rnacentral:rRNA from 1 species
AUGACGACUCCCGGCAAUGGAUAUCUCGGCUCUCGCAUCGACGAAGAACGUAGCGAAAUGCGAUACCUUGUGUGAAUUACAGAAUCCCGUGAACCAUCGAGUAUUUGAAUGCAAGUUGUGCUCGAGGCCACCUGGUCGAGGGCAUGCCUGCCUGGGCGACGUGC